rnacentral:lncRNA from 1 species
GCCACUUGGUGAUUGUGAGCCAGCACCAAGAUCGAAGGCAUUUGGAUCCCUGGUGAUCACAGACCCAGCAUGUCAUCUCUGCAAAGGUCUUUGAGCAGGAGCCCAAGGAAGGAAAAAUAAGGACACACAUUUUUGGCUGGAUUAGUAACAUCUUUCCUUUGUCUUCAUCCACCAGUGUUCUUGCUUCCCAGAAAGUGUGGAAUAUUGGCCUUCCUUUUCAGAUUCAUGUGAAAGCUUGGAGAAAAGAACACAGACUAAAAGGAAUAUAAAUCCAAAAGAAUGAGUGAAAUGGGAAUACACAAGGCAUGAGCAAUAAGACUGUUCUCUCAGAAACAAUGAGAAUAACUGCUCUACAUCUUACAAACCAGAAACUUACACGUUGUAUCUCAUUAAAUUUUAUUUUGAAUAUUGAGAACA